rnacentral:rRNA from 1 species
CCUACGGGCGGCAGCAGUGGGGGAUAUUGCACAAUGGCGGAAACCCUGAUGCAGCGACGCCGCGUGAGUGACGAAGUAUUUCGGUAUGUAAAGCUCUAUCAGCAGGGAAGAAAAUGACAGUACCUGACCAAGAAGCCACGGCUAACUAGGUGCCGGCGGCCGCGGUAAUACGUAGGGGGCAAGCUUUAUCCGGAUUUACUGGGUGUAAGGGGAGCGUUGGCGGUUAUGUAAGUCUGGAGUGAAAGCCCGGGUCCCAACCCCGGGAGUGCUUUGGAAACUGUGUAACUGGAGUACAGGAGGGGCAGGCGGAAUUCGUGGUGUAGCGGUGAAAUGCGUAGAUAUCAGGAGGAACACCGACGGCGAAGGCGGCCUGCGAGACUGAAACUGACGUUGAGGCUCGAAAGCGUGGGGAGCAAACAGGAUUAGAUACCCGUGUAGUC